rnacentral:tRNA from 1 species
CAGGGAGACAACAAAAUGUUUAAUAUUAUUAUUUUGUCACCUUAGGUCGAUCGGUAUCUCACGUUCUUAAUUAAUUAAGAAUUUCAUUUCCUAAGUUUUUCUAGGUCACACCCAUUAUUUUUCCUGGGCCAUUAGCUCAGGUGGUUAGAGCGCACCCCUGAUAAGGGUGAGGUCCCUGGUUCAAGUCCAGGAUGGCCCAUAUCUCUAUGUUGGGGGUAUAGCUCAGUUGGUAGAGCGCCUGCUUUGCAAGCAGGAUGUCAGCGGUUCGAGUCCGCUUACCUCCACUGAUUACCACCUCUUCCAUAAUCUGUAGAAAGGAAAUGUUUUGAGUUGUGAUCAAAUUCUGAACGAAUCUAGCUUCCUAAUGAAAGUAUUAAGAUGCUGGACUCAUUGAAUUAAUUUCAUUGUUUUCAGAGAACCUUGACAACUGCAUAGAUUAUUUUUUAAAGACAAUAAGCAUCUUUAAUGAUGCAGAUUUAUUAUUUGUGCGAAUGCAUUAAUAACAAUUCUAUUAAGCUGAUGCUUCAUUUUUGAAGUUAUU